rnacentral:lncRNA from 1 species
AGUUUUUGUUUUAUUUUGUUUUUCUUCCUAUUCUAGUUAAGAUUAAUAUUAUUUAUUUAUUUUUUCUAACAAAUUAAUUAUAUUCUCUAGAGACUUUGUACACUUUCUUAGUUAACCUUACUCUAUAUCUCACACUAUUCUAAUUCUCUCAAUUUGUCUCUUUUCCAUCUUUAUAGAACUCACUAACUCCCCUUAAUCAU